GGACCCGCACAAGCGGUGGAUGAUGUGGUUUAAUUCGAUGCAACGCGAAAAACCUUACCUACCUUUGACAUGUACGGAAUUCGCCAGAGAUGGCUUAGUGCUCGAAAGAGAACCGUAACACAGGUGCUGCAUGGCUGUCGUCAGCUCGUGUCGUGAGAUGUUGGGUUAAGUCCCGCAACGAGCGCAACCCUUGUCAUUAGUUGCUACAUUUAGUUGGGCACUCUAAUGAGACUGCCGGUGACAAACCGGAGGAAGGUGGGGAUGACGUCAAGUCCUCAUGGCCCUUAUAGGUAGGGCUACACACGUCAUACAAUGGAUGGUACAAAGGGUCGCCAACCCGCGAGGGGGAGCCAAUCCCAUAAAACCAUUCGUAGUCCGGAUCGCAGUCUGCAACUCGACUGCGUGAAGUCGGAAUCGCUAGUAAUCGUGGAUCAGAAUGUCACGGUGAAUACGUUCCCGGGUCUU
rnacentral:rRNA from 1 species